rnacentral:rRNA from 1 species
CCUACGGGAGGCAGCAGUGAGGAAUUUUGCGCAAUGGGGGCAACCCUGACGCAGCAACGCCGCGUGAGUGAAGAAGGCCUUUGGGUCGUAAAGCUCUGUCAACAAGGAAGAAAUUACAAUUAUUUAAUAGAUAGUUGUAUUGACGGUACUUGUGGAGGAAGCGCCGGCUAACUCCGUGCCAGCAGCCGCGGUAAU